ACCAUUAGUGAUUUCAUGAAACAUUUUUGGUGGUGAAGACCAGAAUUAGGGCAGAAUGCAAGUUCCACGACAAAGGCCAAGAUACCCUGGAUAAAACACCGACUUUGUUCGGCUGACACAAAACUGGAUUUCUCCACUCGCUGCUGUCAAAAAUCCUCGCCUGACCCCAUGUUAGCCGGCGCUAACAGGAGCCACUCCCCUCUUGGCGACCGGCUCCGCACUGUGUCAUUUCCGGUCUGGGCAAUUCUCAUCCGGGUCAAACAGAGCCUCCUGCUCUCUGCGAGUAGUGGAGGUACCUCGCUGUCCAUGUUAUCUUCCAGGGAGAUCGAGCCGUAGUGUCCUGAGGCGAGGAACUACCUCUGUCCCAGGCAAAGAAAGUCAAGACCUGGGAGCGGGCCGCAGCUGGGCCGCGCCGGUGAGAUCUUGCGGCACUGCUCCUCCUCUUGCGGCUGUCUCUGGGAACUGGGUGCCAGCGCUGAGGGGCCUCCAGCAGACGGCAGCCCCCUUCCCUGGCUCCCCUGCCCACCCUGCCAGGGAGGGCGGAAGAUGCCAGUGAAGAAGAAGAGAAAAGCCUCCUCCGGGGUGGCAGCGGCAGUAGCGGAAGACGGUGGCCUAAAAAAGUGUAAAAUCUCCAGCUAUUGCAGAUCCCAACCCCCUGCUAGACUAAUAAGUGGAGAGGAACAUUUUUCAAGCAAGAAGUGCCUGGCUUGGUUUUAUGAGUAUGCAGGUAAUGAAAUUAAUGUAAGAAGAAAUCAGUCAUAUGCUUUAAAAAGUUUUUUUUCCAUUUAUUCAUUUAACAAAUUAUUUAUUACAGUCCUGCUAUGUUUGAGUGCUGUGUACUGGGAUCAGUGUCAAGACAGGAUUGUGGAUUGGCUAAGAAUUUGAUGACAUUGUAGGCUGAUGUUUCUGUAAAUAUAUUGACUAUAUAUUUAAUAGGAAAGGAGAAAAUGCGUAAACAGAAACAGAUUCACUUACAUUCAUUGGCUAAAGUAGUAUUCUGGAAAACAAAAGUACAUAAUAAAAUAUUUUUCUGAACUGGAAACAUUUUCCAAAACUUAGGGAGACAGUAAAAUAUUUAACCCUCAGAUAAAUCCUGUCCAACAUACUUAUCCUAUAGUGAUUGUUAUUUAGCCAUUUCUAUGAGAGAUGCAAUAAUAAGAAAGUAAGUAGGUUGAUAUUAAUACACUGUGAUAAGUACUAUAUUAGAAAGAUGCAGAGAGAAUUCAUAGGGGGAAUGUAUAACCCAGCCUGGAACAUGUCAGGGGAGCUUUCUUGAAGGAGCUAAUUAACUUCAGCUAAAUCCUGUAAGUGGUAAUUGAAAAGCUCUAGGCUCAGAACGAUAACCUAGUAUAGAGUUGAAAGUUAAAGCCAACCAGGGAUGAGGCCAAGGAGUUCAGCAAAUGCAAAUACAUGAAAAGGAAUACUUGUUUCCCAUUUAUUACUUUUCGUGAGAACAUGUAAGAACUUUUUUCCCCUCAGAAUAGUUUUGGCCUUUUGGAGUUAUUGAUUUUAAAGCUUUAUGUUCUUCCUUUUCCAUUUCCUUACCUGGUUCCACAAUUUUUGGUUUUUGUUCUCCUUUUAUUAUUAUUCUCAAACUUUUUGUUUAAAAUAAAAGUAUAUUUUUAGUUAUUGUCUUAAAUUACUGCUAAUGUAUGAUAAGAUCUAAAUGUACUCUGGACUUGAUGUAAAGUUUAGGCCAACUGUGUGGAAAGUGAGACUGUUUUGAGAAGGAGGCAGCAACUUCACGGUUGGUAUCUGCUGAGUGCUCCCAAAAGUAUUAUUUUAAAAUUGUUUAGUAGCAGAACAGAUUCUUUCUAGACCAGAAAAAGGCUAAUCCUGUCAUCCCAAGAUAACCACUAACCCAAUUUAAAUGAAAGGAAUUCGUUUUCUUACUGACCUCCAUUUUAAGAUGUUGACCCAUUAUUCAAAAUGCCAGUUUUACUGGUAUGCAUGAUAUAGAAUCCAAAAAAAGGUCAUUAAUCUUAUUUUACUAAUAAAGGUUAUUAGAUACCAUAAAAUGAGUACUUUUUUUCUUUCAUGAUUACUUGUUUUACCUUCCUUGAGUAUCAUAACAUUCUAAUGAAGCAUUUCUUAUGCUAACAUUUUUAAAUGGCCAACAUAAUAACUGUUCUCACUGUCCCAGGAACUGUGCUAAAUAUAUCAUUCUAAUUUUUGACCGUUCUGUUAAUUAGGUGGUGUUACCCUCAUCUUAUAAAGGAGAAAAGUUACACUUAGAUUAAGAAGUUUGUCCAAGAUCAUAUAGUGUCUAGAGCCAGGAUUCAAACCUCAGUCAAUUGUGACCCAGAGAUCACGCUUUUAAGUACUACUGUCUUACCAUGUGUUUUAAAAAAUUUAUUUAAAUAUGUACAUGGUUAAAUAACAUGGCAACUAAUUUUCACUUUCACAAAAAUAUUAGUACACUUGAAGUAACUGUCAUUCAAUGAUUCAUUAGAUAAACUUAGGUUUGUAAGCCAGGUACUGUGCUAAGUGCUGGGGAUAUUAUAGUGAACAAGUCAGAUAUGAUCUCUGCCCUCCAUGGACUUGGCUUCUAAAUGAGGAAGACAAAUUGAAAAUAGAAGUGUAGGCAAGGUACUUAAAACAUUUUGGAAAAUAAUACAGUAAUAAAUAUAGGGAGGUUCAGGAAUAGAGAAGAAAGAAAGGAAGGGUUGGAUGGACUUUCAGAUAUAAUGAUGAAGGAAGGCCUGUCUAUGGAGGAUAUUUGGAGAGAAACCUGCUAGAUAGGGAGACUAGUUGUUUGCCCAAUAAACCUUAAAUGUUUUGUCCUUAAAAUGGGAAAUGUGCCUCAUGAAAAUGGAGAUAGUAGUUGUGCCUACUGAGAAAAAUACAUACAAAGUCCUUAGUAUAGUACCUGCAAUAUCAUCAGAACUUAAUAAAUGUUAACUAUUGUUGAAACAGCAGUAGCAUUAUAGCAUUUACUGGUCGUAUGUUUUCUAUAGUGUUUCAAAAUUGACAGAAACUCCUGUAGCACAUGAUAAAAUGCUGUGCCACUGAACAACGUAUAUAUGUGUGUGUGUAUAUGUAUGUACAUAUAUAUGUACAUAUAUAUGGUCCUGAGCAUCUGUUAUGGUUGGCAUGGUAUUAGGUCCUGAACAUAUAGGUGGAAACAUUUCUUUAUGGUUAUUAAAAAAAUCAGAAAGUUUAAGGUGUUUGUUUUUUUCUAAUUUUGAAAAUAUCACAAAACUUGUUAAAUAUAGUAUUACAAAUAAUGUGUAAUAAACAUAAUAAUUUGCCCUGUCACUCUUGAGUGAUAUUUAAAUUAACAAGAAUCAUUAAUACAGUUGUCCCUCUUUAUACAUGGGGUGAAGUGGUUCCAGGACAACCCCAACUCUGCAGUAGAUAUCAAAAUCUGACAGUGCUCAAAUCCCUCAUGUAAAAUUGGUUAGAAUUUGCAUAUAACCAAUACUUAUCCUGCUGUAGACCGUAAAUCAUCUCUAGACUACUUAUAAUACCUAUUACAAUGUAAAAGCUAAUGAUGAGGAAAAAAAGUCCCUACAUGUUCGGUACAGAUGCAUUUUUUUUUCUCUAAGUAUUUUUGAUGAACAGUUGAUUCAGUCCUGGAUGCAGAACCCACAGAUCUGGAAGGCUGUGUACUAGAUCUGUAGUAACAAAAACAUAGCAAGUGACAGGAAAUUUUUAAAGUCUUAGAAUUUAAAAAUAUGGUUAGAAUCGCAUAGUCCUAUUAUAGUAGCCAGCUGAUAAACUGUACUAGAACAGUGAUCUAAAUUAUCUCCAUGGCUUCUUAAAUUGAGUGGAAAUCUAGUUGCCUGAAAGAGUUAAUUAAAUUCAGCUCUGGAGAUUUUACUCAGGUAGUAAUUUUAUUGGAAAGAUAUGGCUCAAAUUUUGUAAUUAACAUUAUGCAGUUAGAGAAAGAAUAUUGCUUUAGACUUAGAUCUGUCACUAUUUGCAUUGCUUUGGGAAAGUCACUGAACCUCUGUAGACCUCUGUAUAAGGAUAUAAAGUCAUGCACACAAGUGUGUAUAUGUAUAAAAUAUAUCUUAUAUAGCCUAAUUUAACUGGGUUUUAAUCAAAUUUAGUCACUAAUUAGCCUCUCAGUUUCUAGGGGAGUGUUUUUACUACAGUAAGUGACAUUCCUUAACUCCAGCUUUGUCUUCUAAUCACUGUUUUGGCAACUUUGAGGACAAGUCUGCUUUCUUAUUGCAUCAGAAAAAUCUAGAAUAUAAUCCUAUCAUGUCUUAAAAAUAUCCUUUGUUUUCUUCUCAGAUUUUUAAAUCUGAUUAUUAUUCUCAUCCAACCAUAUAUAAAGAUCCACACGUAGUUAUAUAUUUUUAGAAGCCUUAUUUUAUAUAUAUGCUUUUCACUGUUCAUUUAUUUAUUUACUUUGAUGCUGGGGAUUGAACCUAGUGACUUACUUAUGCUAAACACACUCUACCACUGAACUACACCCCGACCACUAUGUAUGCUUUUAAAAUUACAAAUGUAACACAUUCUAAUUAGAAUAAUUCUCUAAAUAUAUAAUAUUAGGAAGUGAAAGUCUGUAAUUACCAUCCCCUUUACCUUUUAACACCUCAGUGCACUGUUAGUACUUAUUUUAACUUAAAGACAUUUAUACUUUUACACAAUUUAAAAGGGUCUUGGUAUCUUAACAUUGUCUUGGCAGCCUGACCACAUAUGGGAUGACUACAUUGUAUUAAGAAAAACUGUAGAAUGCCGGCUUCAUGUUGUACAUGUAACCAACUGAUAGUGCUAUAAAACCCACCCGUGCUGUGUAGAUCUUGUCUGACUUACAAAGCUUGAGUAUUUUCAGUCCUUAAGAAAGGAAAAUAGAGGCUUCUCUUGACUACUUUAAGAACAUUUUAAGACUAUACAGUACUUUCACAGUGGUAAACAUUCUCCUAUGAUAUUUCAUAUCAGAAGAUUGUUUUAUUCUUACCAGGGCACAAAAGAGACUUAACUAAUGUAAUUACUAUAUUUUGAAAGUCUGAUAACAAAAGAAUUCUGAGAAUUGAUGUAUUGACUUAUAUUUAGUAAUAGUAAGAAAGAACAAUAAAAAUUAAAUUAACUACCAUUAGUUAAUGUUCAGACAAAUGAUAGACGAUUAAACUUGUGUGUCUAUGUUAAGGUGUAAUAAUUAAUU
rnacentral:lncRNA from 1 species